rnacentral:rRNA from 1 species
UAUUAUGGAAAUAUAGUGUCAUGUAUUAAAGAGAAGGGUAUUAUUUUAUGCAGUGCAUAUAAACUCUAAGAUAAAUUACUUGAUAAACGAAGCGAAUUGAAAUAUCUUAGUAGCUUUAGGAAAAGAAAUCAAAAGAGAUUUUAUGAGUAGUGUGAACGAAAAUAAAACAGCCUAUUUAUAAUAAGUAAAAUGGUUUAAAAACUGUUUGAAUAUAACCUACUCGUUGGGCGUUCCGCAAGGUUGACGUUUCGGUUGGUAGAUGGGGAACCUACCUCAAAGGCUAAAUAUAAUACAUGAGCAUCAGAGAAAAGUACCGUAAGGGAAUUAUUGAAAUAGUAGUUUUAUAAGCAGCUCGAGAUAUUUUCUAAAAUAAGAGCGUACCUUUUGCAUAAUGGGUCACCAAGUUAACAUUAGAUGCAAGCAUAAUUGAGUAGGGGGUACACAGUCUUAAAACUAAUGCAGCGGGCUGCGAAAAAUCGGGUUGUUAUACUUUUAACUAAGUGACCUUUGAUCUAGUACACCUGACAUGGGUUCCCUUGACUGUAAUGGGGGAUGUAUAAAGUUUGUGAGAGUCUACUUCCCGUCGGGCAUCAAAAAGAUGUUCGGCGUCCAAUGAGGGGAAAUUUUCCUCCUGGAAGUGUGCCGGAGCAACUGAGAAUUGUAAAUCCGGCGAGAUUUUGUGGUUAAUACCCACUUAAUCCGACGACGGUAAAACAAGUCUAAUGUCUCCGAAAAAAAAAUGCGUAGUUAAAACGAUCAUAAUGUAACAGAAAAUGAUAAGUGUCUAAAGUUAGACCCGAAGCCUAGUGAUCUUACUAUAGUCAGGGCUUAAGUGGCUCGAACGGGUUAUUGUUGCAAAAAUAUCCGAUGAACUGUGGUAAGUAUGGUGAUUUCUGCGAAACCUAUAAUAGUAGGCAAUUUAAGUAACAUUAUAGCAGGUACAGAACUUAAUCUCAGACCAGAUGUACAUAUUUCAUAUCUUUUAUUAAAGCCCUCCGGGCGUAGAUAGAUAUAUGAAAAUACAUUGUUCGCUGGUACAUAUCGGGGGGCCGUAGCAAGCUUUAUCGGUGAGUAUGUAGACUCGGAAUGGCUUAUAUGGAUCUUGAAUGAUCAGACAUAGAAUGAUAAGGUUGUAUGUCAAAAGGGAAACAGCCCAGAACAAAAGUUAAGGUUCCAAAAUUAUUGUUCAGUGAAAAUUAAGAAGGUAUUUAUUAGAGUCGACCAGAAGAUGGGCUUAGAAGCAGCCAUAAUUUAAAGACCUCGUAACAGAGCGCUUGUUAAAUCUUUAGAUGCAUCGAAAAUUUAACGGAUCUAAACAAUAUACCGAAACUUUGUCCUCAAUUAAUACUAUACACAAAUAUAUUUUAUUAAAGCUCGUUAUUAGCGGUAAUAUACCAAAAAAAAAAAUAACUAAAAAAAAGUGCUCGAGUCCCCGCGGGGACUUCCGUCAGCUUUGCUGACUCAAGGAGUCCCCUGGGUCGCCUUCCAGGCGAAGGUUAUUAUUUAAUAAUUUUUAUUUAAGGGUUAAUUGCAGGGGUAGCAGAACGUUGGGUUAUAUUAGAUUUUGAAUUUUUUAAAUCAAAAUAAACAAAACCUCAAGUGAUAAUGGUGACAUGAGUAACGAAAAGAUCUAAUAUUCAGAGCAGUACCUUCAAUAAACUGAAAUAGAUGAGGAGGGAAGGGAUAUUGAGAACUCGCCUAAAGCUUAAGGUUACCAGUCAAACGGCCUCUAAGUUUAUAACCUGAAGGUUAAAACGAUGAGUUAACAGUGCUAAUUGCUCGCAUAUACUUCGUUUUUGGUCGAGGGGGUGAGGGGUGGUGAGAGGUAUAUGCUGCAUAUCGUGUAGAACAUUUGGGUGUAAAAUGAAGUUAACUGUUUCUCAUUUUAUGUAAGUGGAAAAUGUGCUGGAAAAAACCGAUAUGUUGUAAUUAGUGGCUAUGCUUGGGGUAAGCAUUUAGUGUGAGAGAGGGCAUAGUCGGGACCGUACCUGGAAACUACCGAACAAGUAAGCUAGUAGAGAAUACGAAGGCGUAAGAGAUAACAAUCAUAAAAAAGGAACUCGGCAAAUUGAUACCAAAACUUCGGGAAAAGGUAGGCUCAUUAGUCUUGAUUAAUACAAGUAAAAAGGAAGAAGCAUAAAAGGAUGUUGUACGACUGUUUAAUUAAAACACAGCACUUUGCGAAAAGAUGAUAAAUCUAAGUAUUGAGUGUGAUACCUGCCCGGUGCCGGCUGGUUAACGGAAAUAACUAAAUUGUCGUAAAUUUGGUGUAGAAGGAAACCCCGGCUAAUGGCGGCCUUAUACCUGAGGGUCCUAAGGUAGCGGAAUACCUUGGCCGUUAAAUGCGGUCUUUGCAUGAAUGGUGUAACGAUACAACAGCUGUCUCUAUGAUUGACUCUGUGAAAUUGGAAUAACUGUGCAGAUACAGUUUACCUCUAGUUGGACGAGAAGACCCUAUGCAGCUUUACUGUUACUAAUUAUUUAGUAUAAUAACAGCAAAUUUGAGAAGAUAAGGUAAUCGACUGUAUAGAAGUGAAAUACCUUUAUUUGCUUAUUGUAUUAUUAUGGAAUAGUCUGUAGAUCGUCUAGCAAAUUAAGUGUGUUUGAGCGCACCUCGUAAGAUACUUCUCAUCCCCCAUAUCCCCCUCCGGGGGAUGAGGGAGAUGAGAAGUAGAAUCUAUGUCCCCAGAUCCCCCAGAUCCCCCUCCGGGGGAUGAGGGGGAUGAGGGGAUUAGAGGUGCACUCAAACUAUAAAAAAAAUUUUAUUAACUCUCCGUAGGAGCCCCCGAAGGGGAAGAACACUUAUCUUGUGGUAGCUAUAUAUAAAAUUAGUGCCUCAAAUGAUGUAGUUUUCUGCUUGGGUGCACAUGAAAUUAUGUAUGGUGGCGGUUAUAGACUAGAAACAUCUAAUUCUAUGAUCUAUGGAUUAGGAUAAAGGUACCGUGAGCGAUACUUAGAGGACUAAGAGAACCAAAAGGUUUAAAGUAGCGUAGCGAUACUUCGAUUAUACGAAGAUAAUGAUUCAUAGAAAAGGGAUAACAUUUGCUAGGAGACAGUUUAUGCGGGGCACAGACCCCAUAAAGAGUAGAUGGGAGUGUCUAAGGAUUGUGAUGUUGAUUGCGGCGUAAGCUCGUGUUUGAAUUUUUAAUCACGAAUCCCCUCCAGGGGUAUAAAAUCAGGGAUCUGGAAUAAAUCUCCUAAGGGGGGGAUCGCAAUUAUUAAUUUUUUAAUAUCUCUUUUUAGGUGCUUAUCGUGCACCUAAUAGAUUCUUCUAUUAGGUGCACGAUAAGAAAAGAAAAGAAUAUAAUUUUGUUUGCAUGUAUUAUAUAACUUAGUUGUAUAUAAUCCUUUGCUAGUACGACAUAUGAGGGCGUAUAUAUUAUUAAAAGGGUAAGAUUUAAGCUAUAGUGAAAUUAGCUUUAGUAAAAAAAAGUACUUAAUAAUAAAAAUUAAAUUAAACGAAAAGCAAAUAUAUUUUGUUUUGUAUAAUAAUACUAUUAUGUGUAGGGUGGGCUAGUUUGAGCGCACCUCGUAAGAUACUUCAUAUCCCCCAGAUCCCCCUCCGGGGGAUGAGGGGGAUGAGGGGAUGAGAGGAGCACUCAAACUCGCCAUAAUGGGAUAAUUCUACUUUUUUUCUAGUUAUUAAUUAAUACUUAGCAGUAUUUUUAAUAAUAAUGUAAACUAUUUACCAAGUUUAACGGCUUAAUCUUGCUUUACUGUUUGAUUCACAACAAAUCUUACAGUCGCGUAAGCGGGGCAUAGGAUCACAAGACACAUAAAGGAAAGGUCUUGGAUUAUUGGAAAAGCUACGCUAGGGAUAACAGGCUAAUUUGCGCAAGAGUGUACUUAAUGAGUGCGCGGUUUGGCACCUCGAUGUCGGCUUAACUUCUCCUCUGGGAUGCAGGACCUCGGUAGGGUUCGACUGUUCGUCGAUUAAUAAGUUACAUGAGCUGGGUUAAAUACGUCGUGAGACAGUAUGGUUUCUAUCUUCUAGAGGGAAUUAGAAUAAAAUAAGGAGUAACCUAGUACGAAAGGAACGUGGGGAAUUAAGUUAUUCUGGGUAAUACCAGGGUAUACUUUAUUAACCUCUGGUUUACCUGUUGUUUAUAUGCCCGAUAUUAAUUUAGGUAUAAGGGUUAUUACUAUAAUAGUAUAGUGAAAACGUUUUAUACAGGGAUACUACUUUCACUUAGGUAGUUGAAUAUAACUAUGCUUGGGAAGUGUAGUUAUAUUAUAUAGUAUAGGCACGGCAGGAAAGCUAAGUUAGUCCAAGAUAAGUGCUGAAAGCAUAUAGGCACGAGGCUUACCUUAAGAUAUUUCUGAAAUAGACGUAAUAUAAGAUUACGAAAUUCCAACCCCACCACCAUCCACCUUGCUUUUGAAGUAAGGGGAUCAUUGGGGGGGGUGUAUCUAAGUGAUAUAGUAUGGGCAUAGGCUUUGUUUGUAAUAAUCAGGAGAUUUUUAGGAAAAAAGUACUAAUUAUCUAAAUACUAUUCUAGAUAAUAUCUAAGAUA